UUAAAUGAUGUAGCCGGCGUCCCCAAGCCAACCCAAGCCAUUCAGUUACAGUGUGAAUGUCUGAUCGAUAAGAGGAGCUAUUCAGCGGAGAGCUGAAGCAAAAAUAAAAAGAGAUUUGUUCGAUUUCCCAUUUGCCGCCGCCCGCCCGUCGCCUGCUGCCAUCACGUCGUUUCAUGCAUCAAAAAUUUAAGUGCUCUUCUUACACCACGUUGCCACCACCACGCUGCCGCCACAUAUUGUCUGCCUCCGGUGUCGUUGUCGUCAUUUGCCACACCACGUUCCUUCCAGCCACCACGUUGUUCCCGCCAGCCACCACCAUCAUCACGCUAAAAUAAUUCCUGUGCCAUCACGUUGCCACCACCACGCUGCCGCCACAUCCGCCACAUUAUUGUCUGCCUCCGCUGUCGUCGUCAUUUGCCACACCACGUUCUAUCCAGCCACCACGUUGCUCCCGCCAGCCGCCACCAAUCUUGCUAAAAUAAUUCCUGACUGUAAAGAUGCGGCAUUACUUUGGGCUCUGCAUGGAUACUUUGUACCUUUCCAAAAAGUUAUAAAAAAAGACACAGAUGGUAGGAAACACGUUAUACGACAUACCAUCAAGGACUCGCAGUAUUCAUUCGUUUGGAUAGGCAACACAAUUCAAGCUUAAGAAGACCAUAUUGCCUUCCUCAACAAAAUGGGUGAGAAUACCCACCCACCAAAUAAAAAAUGUAUGUAUGUACAAAUGCUCUAGUUUUGGUAAAUGAGAUCAUAAAAUUUCAAUUCUUAUAUUAUUUUGAUUCAAAUUUCCCUUAAUUUCACUUUUUAUAAUUUGUUUCACUUUCUUAUCUGAAGAUAAAUCUACAAAAUAAUGUAAUAAAAUUUUUCCUGCCAUUCAUUUGGUUUAUUUGAACAAUAAAAGAGUUAAUGUAAAUAUAAAUAUUUCUUUAAUUUAACCUUUAAGAUUUCAGAAAGGAGAAGAUUAGAGAUGAAAAACCGAAUGUACAGGUUUGUAAAAAUUGAAAACGGCGAUUCACAUUAAUUUUUCUUUCUUUUUCACAGAUCUCGACCUAAUAAAUUUAGAAAGCUAAGCUUCCAUGACUAAUUUAUUUGUCAGUUGAUUU